UACGGGGGGGCAAGCGGUUGUUCGGAAUUACUGGGCGUAAAGGGCUCGUAGGCGGCCAACUAAGUCAGACGUGAAAUCCCCAGGCUUAACCUGGGAACUGCGUCUGAUACUGGAUGGCUUGAAUUCGGGAGAGGGAUGCAGAAUUCCAGGUGUAGCGGUGAAAUGCGUAGAUAUCUGGAGGAAUACCGGUGGCGAAGGCGGCAUCCUGGACCGACAUUGACGCUGAGGAGCGAAAGCUAGGGGAGCAAACGGG
rnacentral:rRNA from 1 species